CCUGAACGCUGGCGGCGUGGCUAAGACAUGCAAGUCGUACGGAACCCGCAAGGGUUUAGUGGCGAACGGGUGAGUAAUGAAUCGCUAACGUGUCCUCCUGUCUGGGAUAGCCAGUCGAAAGAUUGGGUAAUACCGGAUGAGACCACAGAUAGGCAUCUAUCGGUGCUCGAAAGGGAAACCGCAGGUGGAGCGGGCGAUUUCGUAUCAGCUAGUU
rnacentral:rRNA from 1 species